rnacentral:lncRNA from 10 species
GAUUCUCUUGAUUAUUUUGCUUGUUCAUUAGAUCUUUUCUUCCAUUUUUUUCCUGCUCCUUGCCCAGGAAGGUAUAUCUCUACACACUGCUUCAAACCAGCUCCUUCCCCCUCUAGAUUUUAGGUGGGUCCAGUUAAUUGGAGAUGCUGGCAGGAAAUUGUUCUCUCUCUUUUUUUUUUUUUUUAGCAAUACAGUAUUUUAAAUUAAAGUUAACUGCAUUGUAUUUUAGACAGUGUUAUUACAUGCUUAAUGGACUAAAAUAUAGUGUAACUUUUACAUGCACUGGGGAACCCAAAAAAUGUGUGACUUACUUCAUUUUUUAAUAAUUUCAACUUUUAUUAUAGAUUAAAGGGUAUAUGUGCAGGUUUGUAGGUAUAUUGUGUGACACUGAAGUUUGGGAUACAAAUGAUCCUAUCCCCCACGUAGUGAGCAUAAUACCCAAUGGAUGUUUUUCCUUACUUGCAAGCGGGAGCUAAACAUGCAUACACAUAAAUAUAAAGAUGGAAACAAGAGACACUGGGGAUUUCUAGACAGAGGAGGGAGAGGAGGAGGGAGAUUGCUGUUUGAAUGGAAAAAGUAGCCAGAGUAUUUUCCCCUUUUAUCUUCCUGCUAGGCCUUGGCAGUAGCUAUGAAAUUGUUGUUUGAAUAGAAAAAGUAGCCCAAGUAUUCUCCCCUUUUAUCUUCCUGCUAGGUCUUGGCAGUAGGUAUAUCCUUCUCCUUAUAAUUUCAGAUGUUGUUGAGUGACCCUUCUGCUGUGAUCAUAGCUCUUACUUCUUAUCAUGUUCUGGUAUUAUGUGUCUUUUUUUUUUUUUAUUUGUCAUGUCAAGCAAAGGAGAGGUAAUGACUUUCUAUUCUUGCUGGAUCUGGGUGCUUCAUCAUGUCCUCUUUGGUUCCUUUCACCUUGACCUCACCUCUGCAAUAAUUCUUUUGUUCCAUUCGUUACAUUAAAAACAUUAUCCCCUUGAGUGCGUCAUCUGCUUCUUCCUUGAUGUUGAUGGCUGCUGACUGAUCAGGAUGUUGUUGCUGAAGGUUGGGUGGUUGUGGCAAUUUCUGAAAAUGAGGCAACAACAAAGUUUGCUGCA